GACCCCAGGUCAGGCGGGACCACCCGCUGAGUUUAAGCAUAUCA
rnacentral:rRNA from 1 species